GGCAUUCCCCGACCCCAGCACUUCCCUUACCUUCACUGAAUGAAGGGCUUCAUUCAGUGAGAAGGAGAGCCCAACAGGCUUUUAGCUGAUUAUUGUGGGGUGGGAGGGUGUAUAUAAACCACAAAAUAACAAAAAGAAGCUGGCAUGUCUGUGUCAGAUAUGGAAAAUACAAGCAUCUCACGAAUUUUUUUGAUAAGUACCUGGGAGUUAUCAUAUGGCCUCACCCUUUUGUCUUUUGAUGAAACACUCAUGGGUCAAUUAGUCUUUAAAAUUUCAGAAACAAAAAAAUA
rnacentral:lncRNA from 1 species